rnacentral:lncRNA from 1 species
CUUGAGCUGUGGUGGAGAACAUGCUUCUGACCCAGAGUCUGGUGGAGAGUCUGGCAACUGUCUUUGUCUAGGAACAAAAAACAGAUUUAACUUUUUACUGAGAGAAGACAGGGAGAACAGACUUCUCGUUCUCAUGGAAAUAAGGCAAAGCUAAAAGCACCUGGAGAGGGACCACAAGGCUGCUUAGAAUGGCUUCCAGGAUAUAUUGCUUACCAAGGUUGCAGCCCCUUCUCACAGAUCAAUGACAACCUCUUUUUCUCUUUGGAGCCUCUUUGGUGGCUCCCAUCGCCACCAAAUCUUGACCAAACAUCCCUCCAAGGCAGGGGACUCAAACCCCUCUUCCUUCCCAUGAGCUGCUCUUCAGUUACUUCUGGGCACACCAGAACACACAGGCUCACAACAGCUCCAUUCUCUCUAGACUACAUUUGAAAGAUCUUUGCUGAUCACCUUGGUCAGCAAACAGUAGACAAUUUCUUAAGAGAUUAGUUUGGGCACAGCACCCUCAGAUACCAUCAGGGGUCAGCAGGUCACACUGCAGCACCAGGAGGCAGCCCAAGGGAGGAGGGAAACAGUGAGAAGCACGUUGGUCCUAUUUAAAGCAAGAAUUCCUUAUGAAUUCACCGGAAGGGUCCAGAAGCUUAAAGUGGAAUUUCCCUAUAUUGCAAGCUACUUAGUGACUCUACAUAAAUUUCCUAGUUCCACUUGGAAAACACUGAGUGGUACCAACACCUUCUAUAUCUAAAUGAUGAAAGAAUUAAAAACAAAGACAACUAACAGGUCAGCCCCAGGAGCUUCUCAAAGCAAAGAUUAAUUUGAAAAGAAAAUAGGCACAAAAACCCCUGACUACCAUUUCUUGUUGCAUAUAACCAAGGGUUUAGUAGCUGGCAGAAUCUUGACGCGUACACUUGAAGGAAGAACAAAUUUUACGGUGUACUGGAAAGGGUUUAAGAGUUUGACAGCCGGAGCUGCAGGCUGCAUAAAGGGAGGCAGGCAUGAGCUGCCCAGUGCCUAUCCCAGCUCUCUGCAGCCAGUGCUGAGUGGUUCCAGGCAGUCCCAGCGCUCACAAAGCGCAGCAGGCCACGCAACACCACACGCAGCACUGCCACCCAGCAGCUCCCGCGUCACACCUGCAGGACAGCACUGCGCUGCGCCACAUCCAGGCAGAGCUGGGCUGCCCUCUGUGUACAGUGACACGAGCAGAGGCUCGCUUCCUGCUUCAUGUUACACGAAUGGGGAAGUAGGAGCACAGGAGGAACCCUCACACCCCUCUGUGAGGGAAGGUCUCGGCUCCUUCAGCCGCCGGUGGGCGGUAGCAGGUGGAAACUGAAUGCUUCCUUGCCUGCAGCUGACAUGAGGAGCAUUGCUCUGUUUAUGGCUCAACAGAUACCCAAGAGCUCAGCCCCACUCUCAUGCUUGAGGUUGAGAAAGAUGUUUCUUGCUAAUUUAUUCUUUGGCACG